rnacentral:tRNA from 1 species
GGAGGGUUGGCAGAGUGGUAAUGCACCGCGGUGCUAACGCGGAAUCCCCCCUGGGGAUGGGAGGUUCGAUUCCUCCACCCUCCG